rnacentral:lncRNA from 1 species
CUAAAUUCUCCAAGGAAUCAUUCAACUCUUUCUUUGUUAUACGGCCAUCGUCGUUGCGGUCAAACAUUUGGAAAACACGUUUGAGCUCAUUUGGAUCCAUUGUUAUUGUCUUGGUAAAAACAAGACCUCUUUUUGAUGUGGAAGAAGGUGUGGUUAAGGUUUGAUGAGUGAACCAAGAAUGAGGGAAGAAGGUUAUAAGUUUCUUAGGAACAAGACUAAUGAGAAAUGAAUUGACAACGUUGUAUAAAAGGAAAAUUCUAAGCAAAAUAGUUGGCAUUUCUAACAAGGAAGCGAGUAAUUUGUAGUAUUGUUUAUGACUUAUGUUGCUGUUGGUGUUGG